GCAUCGACAAAUUUAUUAAAAAUUUAAAUGCAUUUUAAUUCCAAAUAAAACAGAAAAGGUCCGAUCCUGGAGCGAUGUCGAGAACGGGUGAUGUUUAGCAUCACCUCAUCUGGAAGAAGUAAACAUUAAAUGUGAGCCAUAGCUAAUACACUUAAUAUUUAAGCUGUGUGUUACGAUGUGAGCUGUCUCUUACUUUCGUUUAAGUUGAAGCAUAAAAUAAAAAAAAUUAAAUCAUUUUAUGGAUCUUUACCCUAUUUGUAUUCAGCUUAUUGGAAAUUGUUUUCUAUAUUAUUAGGUACGCGUGCUUCGAUCGAAUUGAAUAUAGGUAGUGAUUUUUUGGGAAGUACGCAAUACGAGUCUUUAUAUUUUUAAAAUAAUAAAAUCAAGCCCCCCUCUCCUCACGGACUGAUAGCACACAACAUAGUCGUCCUAACAUUCCGGCGUGAAAAUAAUGCAUUAUUAGAUAGACAUUGACAUUAAAGACCAGAAUCAGACAUACCUACGUUUUAACCACAAGAUCUACAUGGUAAGCGCGUAAUGACUUUCUACACGCUCUCCGUUUUAUUGCUAAACGGGAAGCGAGAAUGGUGUAUUUUUUUUAAAUUAAGUAAAAAGAUUAUCUUACGGCGUGGGGGCUACCAUGGCAGCAGCAGUCAACUGUGACACAAUGCUGCCGGCCACUAAAUUUCCGUAGUAUGCUUGUGCAGCAGCGGCUGUGCUUCCUGCCGCUAUUCCCGCUGAGCUGAAACCGAGCACGGGAGCCACUAAUGGAGUCAACAGACCCCCAGUGCCAUAUAUUACAGCACCGCCGACCGCGUUUACCACUAAUGCAGCUAGAAGCCCCAUGUUCCUAUGGAGACAAAAAAAUAUAUACGUAUGAUAUAAAUUAGAACGAAAUUGACCUGGCACAUAUAAAUUUGCAUAAUAUUGGUGAAUUAUUGUGUCACAAGGAAAAACGGGAUAUUAAUCUUAAAAUAUUUGGAAUUCAGAAAUAAUGUUGUAAGAUCCGCGAAAUAACAUAUUAUCACAAUUUGAUGUUUCUAAAUCCACGAAAAGUAAACGAGAAGAGCAACAAAUUAAAAUAUACAUAAUAGUUUUUUUCUAUCUAUGAUAGUAACCAUAAUAAAAUUAUUGUUCGCUGAUCUACUAAAUCUACUAUAUAAUUACAGUGACAAUUACUUUGUAUAAAAAAACACACUGAAGUAUGAAACCUAAAACAGGACAAGGAGAAAAAAACAAACAGCGACUGCUUGAACAUGUACUUAGUCGCCAUAAAUACUGUUACAAUUAAAACUGAUUCUCUUGAGAGGUGCAUGGUUGUUGUAGAGAUCUAAUAGUAGGUUGUUGAAGGCAGAAACUUUACUGUCGAUGUCAUUGCAGUUGUAAACAGACGACCAGUCCACAUUACCAGCAUCAAUCCUCAAACGCUCGAGAGAAAUAUCUUUGAAACUGCGGAGAAGGAGAAAUUUAGAUUUGCGUCGAGGACAACGAAUUUUGUAAGAAAGGUAAAUAAGGUCGUGAUAAGAGAACGAAGCUGAUAGCUGUCCAUGCCUUGAAACUUUGGAAGGGUCAGAGACAAUAAUAAGAUCUAAGAGAGAAAGAGUAGAGUGAGGAGCGCGAUGAGUCGCCCCCAAGGGAAGAAGGUGCAUGUUUACAGAAGAGACUAGAGAGAGGAAUCGCUGAGACCGUGCGUCAUCCCUGAUUACGCAAGUGUUGAAGUCUCCAAGGAUCAAGACAUGGUCAUAUAUAGAACAUACAUUUUCUAACAUACUUUCAAAAGAUGAGAAAUAAUCAAUGUGACUUGAAGGACUAUAAAAAACACCAAGAGGUAUCUUGGUGUGCUGGAUAGCUACCCCUAUAAAGAGGUGCUCAGCAGAUUGAGUAUAUUAGCUUGGUGACUGAUCAACGACUGUAUGCUUCAGAUCAGCUCGGCGGUAGAUUGCAACACCACCAUAUCUGCGACCUGUCCUGUCAUUUCGAAAAAGUUUGUACCCGGGGAGUGCAUAUUGCGAUGAUGGGAGUGAAGGCUUAAGAAAAGUCUCAGAGAUAAGCACAGCGUGAACAUGGUCUGAGUCAAAGGAAGAUAACAGCUCAGGCAAAUGUACGUGAACACUUUGAGCAUUGAUAUGAACGACGUUGAAACAUUUAGAAGAAGACGAAAGGGAAUAAACAAGUUGAUCGCGUAGAUGGAAUCGUCAUUAUCAAACGCACUAGCAAAGCUUCUAUCAGAAGAAACAGAAGAAGAACAUGACAAAAAAUUAUCAUCAGUGUCACUGUACAUUAAUGCUUUAAAUAAGUAAUAAAAAUCAAUAAUACCAAUAAAAUAAUAAACAAAGACAAAACAAAAAAAUAAAAUAAAAAUUACCCUAAAAUCCGUAAUAAAUUCUAAGAUACAAAAUAUAAUAUUAUGACACUAACCUCAUAGGACAACAAAUUAAAAACAAUUAUUUUAAAUCAUAAUGAUUUGGUAUACCUACAACUAAAAUUGAUGGCCAAAAGCCAUAGAGCCAAAGUUCUAUUGUGAAAGGAGUUAACAUACCAAAACAUGUAAUUGUGUCAAACUUGUCAAAGUCAUAACUAAAUUUAUCCAACAAACAUUAACAAACUAAUCAAAAUUAACAGACGCCAAACAAAGAAAUAAAGUAAAACAGAAAGAUAGACAUAAAAAUUAGUAUAGAAUACAUAAAAGAAUUUUAACGAAGUAAAAUAAUUAAACAUAAAUAUUAUAUAUACUUUCUAUAAAAUAAAUAAAGUGAAACAUUAUUAUUUAGGCAGUUUACGGAUCCUCUUGUCCGAACGUAUUCUUGACCUGCGAUUUUGUGGUUUUCACGGCUUCAGCAGACUAUCACUAGGCGCUGGUGCCACAGGGUACUGAUUUAUCAACAGACGGAGCUCAGCGACAGUCUCUAUCUUCCGACGUGCUUUAUCAGACAGCUGGAUUACUAUCUUGCCUUCUGAUGUCCAGCACUGCUUAAGGCCAGUGUUUGUGAGCACCCAGAAACCGCAUCAUGGCGGGACUUCGUCAAGAAUUCAGACACUGUCAAAACUUCAGCAAAACUUUAUUCUUCCAAACUUCUCGAUGGCUAUGGCAUUUAAACCUUAUUAAAACUGGACGAGGCUUGCUUUUAUUAGCUCCAAGAUGAUAAGUUACUAUGUCAGUUGAAAUAAUAUGACUCAAUUUUGUGGGACCUUUUAAAAUCUCCAAAACAGUAGCAGAAGGGUCUUUAUUAUUGUUGACCCCAUGUAGCAACAGUACUUUCUGACGAGACAUCAUUUCGUGUCUGUCCAGGCCCAAAGUAAGCAACUCUAUUUGAGUUUUCAAAGCAGUUAGUGCAUUACACACAAAUGAUUUAAAUUCAGCAAACUCACGGGAUAAACUCGCUAUGGUUUUAUGUGGGAGAUCUGUGGUAGCUGCAUUCUUCAGAUCUACGUGUUGUGCCAUUCAUAAGUUCAGUGUUGUAGAUAAGUCUUCCAGUUGUGCAAAUAGUUUGGAAUAAAUAUCCAUGGUGAUGAUAAUUAAGUUUUUAGUUUAAGAGAGUUCAGAGGAGAAAUAAUUGUUGAAAUGAGAGUAUUAGAGGUCGGUGAUCAACCUGGUAUCAAUAAAUCAUAACAAAAUAAGCUGUAUUAUAUUUAAAUUAAAAUAAAUCUUAGAAUACAAAUUUUUAGUAUUGACACGUCUAAGUGUCCCUCAUUAAAAAUUAUUUUUUUAAAUUAACUUCUUAACUUUUAAUUGUAUUUUAUUUAUAACACCUAAUACACUUCACGAAUUCCUCUCUUUUCUUUAACUUUCUUCUAAGCACACAGGCUUAAAAUAUAUUAAAGCAAAUAAAAAAUUAAAUAAAAUAAAAUUAAAUUAUACGCGGGUAAUAAGUGACCAUUUUUUUGUUGCAAUGUGCACUAUGCACAACAUGACCACCACUAUGCCAAAACCUUGCCAACUUACGUGCCGCUUACUAUACCACCACCCCGCCUAUUCCUGCCAUGAAGCAGUAAUGCGUUUCGGUUUGAAGGGUGGGGCAGCCGUUGUAACUAUACUUGAGACCUUAGAACUUAUAUCUCAAGGUGGGUGGCGCUGUAGAUGUCUAUGGGCUCUAGUAACCACUUAACACUAGGUGCACUGUGAGCUCAUCCACCCAACUAAGCAAUGAAUAAAAAAAACAUUCAAAAAUUACAUUCCAGUAUAGUUCAAAUGUAAUUGAAAAAACAGUUUAUUUAUAAACAACGGGACAUUUAAGUUUAUCAAAAAAGUCUUUGAAAACAGUAUACUGUCCUGCCAAUAAAUUUACGAAUUGUCACCAUAUCUGUAAUAUGAUUCCACUAGACUUAGCAUGUGGUCAUUAAACGGUUCCAAUGUUGAGAAAAUUAGCAGUUUCACAGUCUGUGAAGUUACGGCGAUUUUUCAUAUGAAAAUGUUCCAAGCUUAAUCAAAUACACACCUGUUGUAAGCCAUUCUUAAUUAUUCCACGAUCAAUAACUUAUAUUUGUAAAUUAAAAAUAGACUUACCUUUAAUUUUUGUUCUCUUCGAGCGAUACGCAGGUAUAAAAGCUACUAUGUUGAUUAAGGAAGUUUAGAGUACGACUCUUCAACACAAGAAUCCGUUUUAGAAUGAAAUUGAGGUAUUACGCUUACUCGGUUUCAGUUCUUCCAGAGCUUUCGGUUCUUUUUCGGUCAACUAUCGGAUAAAUGUUGCCAGAAAAUUAAUGUAAAAAAUGAUAUAUAUGAUCGGAUUUCGUCUUUUAAACCUAAGCUUCUUGGUUUGAAAUCACCGUUUUAUAGCUUUCUUUUCAUAAAUAUCUACUGAGGGGUCAAUAAUUAAAUCACUUUUUUUAUUGUUCUAAGAAUGCAUAAUUGUUGAAUCAAAUAAGUAGAAAUUUUUGUUUUCUGUCAACACUUUUGUAUGACACGACUUGACUAAAAUUUAGGGUUCGCUGAAAAGAAAGUUUUCCGAAAAGGGAAAGUAUUAGGAAAAAUUAAAUACAAUUUCUCAGAUAAAAAAAUGUUAGUAAUUUUUAGUCCCAUAAAAUUCCAAGUAAAACAGAGUUAGCGGUAAUUUUGUCUGCCUUUACUUAAAAUUACCUUUACUUAACUUAACUAGCCUUUACUUAACUUUAAAUUAAUUUAAAUUUACCACUAUAUAAACGAUAUGAAACCACCUAUUUGGCAUAUCCAGGAUACUGCAGCUUGCAAGUUAAUUUCAGAGUCAUUACUUAUAGUUAAUCAUAAUCAUCAGUGAAUCAUUAGCGUCGAUUAUAAAAAAUAUCUAAAUAUAUAUAAAGUUGUAUCUAACGUUAAAUAGGUUAAGAGAUUUAGUGUGAAAUUAGCUGAUUUAGACUAUGAAGUUACAACUUGACCAAGCUAAGUUUGCACCUCGCUGGAAUGCGGCGCGGCGGUCCGCCCGUUUCCCCGCUCACCUUCCCGCGAUCGGCCUGUCGCGUCAGCACGGUUAGUAUCUUUGUCGCCGACAGAAACAUAAUCCUGGAAAAGAAACAUAAAGGAAAAUUAUUACUGAGCAAUUGGGAUACAAAUUUAAAAAGUGCAAAAACCCGAUAUCGCUAUAUUCUAAUGUACCUAUGUAUAAUAUAUUGUUAAAAACAAUAAAUGCAAAGUAAAAUCUAACAAACAUUUGCUUACAUUUUUAAAGUCAUAGCGAAUCCUUUUUUCAGACCGCACCUAGGUGGCAGUGUGAAGUAAUCGAUGCGGGGUGCAAACUUAGCUUGGUCGAGCUGUAAUUUUAGUAGGAAGACUAAACAAUUAAUCUGAAAAUUACCUUCAAAAUGAUAAAAUAAGUAAAUUAAUAGUGCGUUUCCAGAGGUCUUUUUUGCCACGUACCAUCCGGCUAUGGAAUGAGCUCCCCUCCACGGUGUUUCCCGAGCGCUAUGACAUGUCCUUCUUCAAACGAGGCUUGUGGAGAGUAUUAAGCGGUAGGCAGCGGCUUGGCUCUGCCCCUGGCAUUGCUGAAGUCAAUGGGCGACGGUAACCACUCACCUUCAGGUGGGCCGUAUGCUCGUUUACCUACAAGGGCAAUAAAAAAAGAAAGUGUGACACGCCCUGAUAUUAUAAAUGUAAUUCAUAAAGAUAAUUGAAUAAUAUUCUGUAAAUUUUCUUUGAUGUAAUCUCGUCCUAAAAUAAAAAUCUACGGAACCUUAUAUGUUUUUAAUGCAAGGUAAUAAUAAUAACCUUUGAAGUGCUAUGUUGAAAGGAAUACCCUAUCAUAGACAAUGUACAAUAGAUAAUAGCGAUCAUCUUCGUCUUAUUUUGCGUUAAGCAUUGUGUUAUUAUUUUGAUUGUGGGUUUAAAUUAUUAUUUGUUAAUAACAAAUAUAAAUCUACAGAUUACUAUUCAUUUCAAACAUAAAAAAAAACAUUCAAUUUAAUAAUGUCCAAUAAGACGUAAAGAGAAACUAAUUCUUAGUAUUAUUAAUAUUAUUUGCAAUUAUGCUCACGUAUAGCUUAAAAAUAAAUAAUAAAAUUGUAAUGGAAAUAAGGUGAAUGAAGUUAGCCCCUCAAAAAAAUUUUUUUUUCCUGUUUUAUACUUAUUUUCUAUUAAUUCGUUUGUUCAUCAUUUGUUCAUGAUUGUUCACUGUUAAUAAUUGUUUGUUCUGCAGUUAUUUAUUUUAAAAAAAUAUUUAAAAAUAUACCUACAAGUUAGCCCCUCUAAUGCAAUUUUUAAUAUUUUUUCAUCCUUAAUGACUCGUAAAUAUUCAUUUUCGAUUGUUCUUAUAUAAAACACGUUUGUUCUCUUUCGAAAUUACUCGUUUUUUGUUUAAUUUACUAUUUUUAUUAGUUGAAUAAAUGUAUGCAAAAUAUGUGUACUGCGCAUGCGUCAACUAUAAUGCCUAAACUUUCUACGCGGUUUUAAUCGUGAAAAAGAAAACAAAUAUAAAUCCUGAAGGAGCAAUUAAUUGGUAUACACUUCGAUCAACAAUAGUAACUAGAUUUCGGGUCGGUGCAUAAAAUCCGUCUCGUCAAAUAACAGCGCACUUGAAAUGUGAGCUCUUAUUUUGUUUAGUUUACUUCAAACACAGCCAAUGUCAACCCGUCUCACAAUACCGCAGUGUGUAUUCAAAAGUUGCAAAAAUAAGGCCCGAAAAGCAAUUUAACGGCCGGAGUAUCUUACUUUCGCUUUCCUAGCAAUCACGUGUGCAGAAUGGAUCUCGAUUGUCGCCAGAGAAACAAGAGAUGACUUUUAUAAGCCAGCUAAGAACUCCGCUUAUUGACACUGGACAUCUUUGCCUUCCGUGCUCACGGCUACUGAAAUGUGGCCGAAACAUUGUAAUAAAAAUACCACGCUUGAAACCGUUUAAA